UACAGAGGGGGGCAAGCGUUAUUCGGAAUUAUUGGGCGUAAAGGGCGCGUAGGCGGCCUGGCAAGUGGAAGGUGAAAUCCCUCGGCUUAACCGAGGAAACUGCCCCUCCAAACUGCUUUGGCUUGAGUCCGGGAGAGGUGAGUGGAAUUCCCAGUGUAGCGGUGAAAUGCGUAGAUAUUGGGAGGAACACCAGUGGCGAAGGCGGCUCACUGGACCGGUUCUGACGCUGAGGCGCGAAAGCGUGGGGAGCAAACGGG
rnacentral:rRNA from 1 species